rnacentral:rRNA from 1 species
UACGGAGGGAGCUAGCGUUAUUCGGAAUUACUGGGCGUAAAGCGCACGUAGGCGGCUUUGUAAGUUAGAGGUGAAAGCCUGGUGCUCAACACCAGAACUGCCUUUGAUACUGCAUCGCUUGAAUCCAGGAGAGGUGAGUGGAAUUCCGAGUGUAGAGGUGAAAUUCGUAGAGAUCGGGAGGAACACCAGUGGCGAAGGCGGCUACCUGGACCAGCACUGACACUGAGGCACGAAAGCGUGGGGAGCAAACAGG